CGUAACACGUGGAUGACCUGCCCGAGAGUGGGGAAUAACUUGGGGAAACUCGAGCUAAUACCGCAUACGCUCGUACGGUUGCGGUCGUACGAGGAAAGCUGGCCUAUGUUUACAAGCUGGCGCUCACGGAGGGGUCCGCGUCUGAUUAGCUAGUUGGUGGGGUAAUGGCCUACCAAGGCGACGAUCAGUAGCCGGCCUGAGAGGGCGAUCGGCCACACUGGGACUGAGACACGGCCCAG
rnacentral:rRNA from 1 species